rnacentral:rRNA from 1 species
AGAACGAACGCUGGCGGCAUGCCUAACACAUGCAAGUCGAACGAGACCUUCGGGUCUAGUGGCGCACGGGUGCGUAACGCGUGGGAACCUGCCUUGAGGUUCGGAAUAACUCCCCGAAAGGGGUGCUAAUACCGGAUAAUGUCUUCGGACCAAAGAUUUAUCGCCUUUAGAUGGGCCCGCGUUGGAUUAGCUAGUUGGUGGGGUAACGGCCUACCAAGGCGACGAUCCAUAGCUGGUCUGAGAGGAUGAUCAGCCACACUGGGACUGAGACACGGCCCAGACUCCUACGGGAGGCAGCAGUGGGGAAUAUUGGACAAUGGGCGAAAGCCUGAUCCAGCAAUGCCGCGUGAGUGAUGAAGGCCUUAGGGUUGUAAAGCUCUUUUACUGGGGAUGAUAAUGACAGUACCCAGAGAAUAAGCUCCGGCUAACUCCGUGCCAGCAGCCGC